AAGAGAAAACAAGUUUUGAGCUGGCCAAAAAGCUGAUUUCAGCUAAAAAAAGAAAAAGAAAAGCUACUACUGCAAGGAAUGUGAAAGUACUUUAACUGUAUUUUCUCAAGCUUCAUAAAUAUAUGGCAAUUGAUUUUCCUUUUUCCAAAACCAAUUUAAAAACUGCAAAAGCUAGCCUCUGAAUUGAUGUACGUGCAUAUAACUGUCAACAUUAACACUUCUCUGAAACAACUGACAAGAAUAUGACAAAAUUUGUAUGAAAUGAUCCUUACAUGGUCCUGACCACGUGUUGUUACUUUUAAAAUCCAAGAUGGCAAACAGAACUCUGAUUGGCAGAGACUUUUGAAACUUCUACUCCAAAACAACAGAAUUAAAAGAAUUUGAUAAAACUUGUCGAAACAGAAAAAGUUCUCAUUGUGCUCGAUCAACAAUUAACUUUCCAUCAAUUUUAUUUCCACCUUAAUGGCCAGUGUUACUUUGGUUAAUCAUAACAUUUUCAUUCUAUUACAGGGCAAAAUAAUAAUGAAGAAGAAGAAAGUGUUAGUGAAACUCUUGAUGACAACUUAAAAGUCAAGAAAAAAGGCCAAAAUAAUAAUAAAGAAGAAAAAAGUGUUAGUGAAACACUUGAUGACAACUUAAAAGUCAAGAAAAAAGUUAUCAGGGAAGAGAAUAAAAAGAAAGUUGAACUACGAGGAAAAGUGGCUUAUGAAAAAGCAAAAAGCAUGUUCUCACAGAUCAGGAAUGUGCAUGAUCAGCCUCAGUUGCUAGACCUCUGGAGCCAUUGGAAACAAAUCUCAUAAAUAAACGGAUGAGGGGUAGACUCUGCACUACAGAAUACAAGAUUUUAGAUGAGAACUCGCCUAUGCCAUCUGGCUACCAGUUUUUGGUAGAAGGUAGUCCACUAGCAGUACCAACAGAUUGGUAUAAAAACACACUAUACAGUCUCAGAAAGAAAGAUCGGCCAUGUGCUUUGAAAAUGAUGGUCGACUGUUUUCUGACCCCAGAGCAAUAUGGAAUAAAAGGAGGCACUUCUGCCUUCUCCAAAACCCCACUAGGUGGAGUCAUGACAAGUGUUGAAAACUUUGGUCUUAUCCAUUUUAAGAUGCUGCCAACAGAUGUGACAAGAGCAAUAAAUGAGAAAAUGGACAGCGGCAGA